GUCUGUGUGUGUCUGUCUGUAUGUAUGUGUCUGUGUGUGUGUGUGUCUCUGAAUGUAUGUGUCUGUAUGACAUACAGAGACAUACACACAUACAGACACAUACAUACAGACACACACA
rnacentral:miRNA from 1 species